GGUCACGAGUGCCAGCGCGAAGCCCCGGCUUGCUGGCCGGCAACCCUCCUCCGCGGCGGGGUGCCCCGGGUGAUGACCGGGCCGUCGCGACACCCGCGCCGGCAAGCGCGGAUC
rnacentral:ncRNA from 2 species